rnacentral:rRNA from 1 species
AGAGUUUGAUCCUGGCUCAGGAUGAACGCUAGCGGCAGGCCUAAUACAUGCAAGUCGAACGGUGGUAGCAAUACCAUAGUGGCGCACGGGUGCGUAACACGUAUGCAACCUACCUUAUACUUAGGGAUAGCCUUUGGAAACGGAGAUUAAUACCUAAUGGUAUAUUUAGCUGGCAUCGGUUAGAUAUUAAAGAUUUAUUGGUAUAAGAUGGGCAUGCGUCCAAUUAGUUAGUUGGUGAGGUAAUGGCUCACCAAGACGAUGAUUGGUAGGGGAACUGAGAGGUUAAUCCCCCACACUGGCACUGAGAUACGGGCCAGACUCCUACGGGAGGCAGCAGUAGGGAAUAUUGGGCAAUGGAGGGAACUCUGACCCAGCCAUGCCGCGUGCAGGAUGAAGGCGUUAUGCGUUGUAAACUGCUUUUAUAUAGGAAGAAACAGACCUUGCGAGGUAGAUUGACGGUACUAUAUGAAUAAGCACCGGCUAACUCCGUGCCAGCAGCCGCGGUAAUACGGAGGGUGCAAGCGUUGUCCGGAUUUAUUGGGUUUAAAGGGUGCGUAGGCGGUUUAUUAAGUCAGUGGUGAAAGACGGUCGCUCAACGAUUGCAGUGCCAUUGAUACUGGUAGACUUGAGUGUGAUUGAGGUAGCUGGAAUGGAUAGUGUAGCGGUGAAAUGCGUAGA